GAUGAACGCUGGCGGCGUGCCUAAUACAUGCAAGUCGAGCGAACAGACGAGGAGCUUGCUCCUCGGACGUUAGCGGCGCACGGGUGAGUAACAUGUGGAAAACCUCCUUAUAAGACUGGGAUAACUUCGGGAAACCGGCGCAUAUCCCGGAUAAGAUAUUGCACCGCAGUGUGCAAUGGUGAAAGACGGUUGUGCUGUCUCUUAUAGAUGGAUCCGCGCCGUUUUAGAUAGUUGGUAAGUUAACGGCUUACCAAGGCAGCGAUGCGUAGCCGACGUGAGAGGGUGGUCGCCCGCCCGAGAACGUGGACACCGACAAUGCUCCUACGAGAGGCAGCAGUAUGGAAUCUGACGCAGUGGGCGAGAGCCUUACGGAGCGACGCCACGUGAGUUAUGAAAAUCUUCGGAUCGUAAUACCCUGUUAUUAGGUAAAAACAAAUGUCGAAGUAACUAUGCAGGUCUUGACGGUACCUAAUCAGAAAGCCACGGCUAACUACGUG
rnacentral:rRNA from 1 species